rnacentral:rRNA from 1 species
AACGAACGCUGGCGGCAGGCCUAACACAUGCAAGUCGAACGCUCCGCAAGGGGAGUGGCGCACGGGUGAGUAACACGUGGGAACCUACCUUCUGGUACGGAACAACCAAGGGAAACUUUGGCUAAGACCGUAUACGACCUCCGGGUGAAAGAUUGAUCGCCGGAAGAGGGGCCCGCGUCCGAUUAGGUAGUUGGUGAGGUAACGGCUCACCAAGCCUUCGAUCGGUAGCUGGUCUGAGAGGAUGACCAGCCACACUGGGACUGAGACACGGCCCAGACUCCUACGGGAGGCAGCAGUCGAGAGGCUUCGGCAAUGGGGGAAACCCUGACCGAGCGACGCCGCGUGGAGGAUGAAGGCCUUUGGGUUGUAAACUCCUGUCAUGUGGGAAGAAACGCCACCGUUCUAAUAGGACGGUGGUUUGACGGUACCACAAGAGGAAGCUCCGGCUAACUCCGUGCCAGCAGCCGCUGU